UAUAGGAUGUGAGAUUUAUAUCAUAUUUAUAAGUGUGCUAGUAGCAUUAUUCUAAUUAUUAUUAUUAUUAUUAUUAUUUAUAAUUAUGAGUAUAUUUUUUUUUUUUGAGAGAUAGGUAGCACGUUAUCCGCUUCGUUUAUUUCAUUCAGAAAUAAACUUAGCUAGAAAUGUAAAUCAACUAGGAUUCGAACUUGGGUUUCGAGUACCAACCACCAAGCCCUUUGCCACUUGCUCUAGGGUUGGAUCAAUUAUGAGUAUUGUUGAGAGCGAAUUGAUAUUGUUAUAGUAAGUUUGGAUAUUAGUAGAAUAAAUAUAUUGUAUUGCUGAUGAUUUGCAUUAUUUUGCUCUGAAUACUUUGGCUAUAUCUAUUCUUUAGGGAAAGAUAAAAGUAAUCACCGUCCCUUUUAUUUCAAGAUUCAAGUAAGUGAACCCGGGAAUCAUGGAUGGUAGCAACUUUCAGACAAGGGUGUGUUUGUUUUAUCAAAAGUGGAGAGAAGUGAACUGAUUUUCGACCGUAAAUGUCUAUUUCUGUUAUUUUUUUUACCACAAUUUUACUUUCGGUCGAAACUUAAACUCACUAAAAUACCGUAAUUGAUUUCAACCCAUUCGUGAUUAAAGUCAAUUACUACUACAAAAAAAGAGAGAAUUUCUUUUUUGAGAGAUAGGUAGCACUCUACCAUCUUCGUUUAUUUUAUUUAGAAAUAAACUUAGUUAGAAAUGUGAAUCAAUAAGGAUUCGAACUUGGGUCUCAGGUACCAACCACCAAGCCCUUUGCCACUUGCUCUAGAGACGGUCAAUAAAAAAAAGAGAAUUUCAAAUUUUACGUCAUCCACUUUUUACUAAACAAACAUCAAAAGUAAGAGAACUUUAAUUCUACAGUUGUAGAAAUAAACAGCCAAAAAAAAUCUCUCUAAACUCUCAUUUAUCGAACAUUUAUCUUAACC
rnacentral:lncRNA from 1 species